AGUUGAACUGUGCAGCCAAGGAUGACUUGCCGGUAACUUCAUGAAAUGGGUUUGGAUAUAUGCAGUACGAAAAACCGGCGAGUUAUUUUUGGCUACAUAUUUGCCUCG
rnacentral:pre_miRNA from 1 species